AGGCUUAACACAUGCAAGUCGAGCGCGUAGCAAUACGAGCGGCAGACGGGUGAGUAACGCGUGGGAAUCUACCCAGCUCUACGGAAUAACGCAGGGAAACUUGUGCUAAUACCGUAUACGCCCUCCGGGAGAAAGAUUUAUCGGAGUUGGAUGAGCCCGCGUUGGAUUAGCUAGAUGGUGGGGUAAUGGCCUACCAUGGCGACGAUCCAUAGCUGGUCUGAGAGGAUGAUCAGCCACACUGGGACUGAGACACGGCCCAGACUCCUACGGGAGGCAGCAGUGGGGAAUAUUGGACAAUGGGCGAAAGCCUGAUCCAGCCAUGCCGCGUGAGUGAUGAAGGCCCUAGGGUUGUAAAGCUCUUUCACCGGUGAAGAUAAUGA
rnacentral:rRNA from 1 species